GUUUAAGACAUUUAUUUUUGCGACAAUCUAUUGCCUGCUAGAGGUUCCAAAAGAGAGGCUUAUCACUAUAGUCAUAAAGAGGUUGGGAGGUGGCUGCACCUGUGAGAUUGCAAAAUCUCUACUUUAUUAUUCAGGUCGCAGUUUCAGCAUGCUGGACAAGGUAAUCCAGGCAGUGCACACAAAUGAGUUCAUGGCUGAACAAGCAUGGAUUGCAUUCUUCGAUGCUCCUGCACUCUUCAAUGACGGUGACAAAGUUUGUUGUGGUUCGGUUUUGUUGCUGUGGUUACUGAAAUGCUACAUUCUUAAGAGCUCUGGAGGACUUGCAGGUGGAGAGGAAGGACUGGAGACUUUUUUAUGGCCGUUGCUUGGCCAGCACAAACACUGUCUGGAACUAACUGCCGAUAGGGCCAAGGUGUUUACUUUGUGAUCAGUUUAGGGUUUAUCUAUAACUUUGUGGGCCGUCGGGAGCCACCAUUUUCAAGACACGACCACCAUUUUCCCGGUGUCUUGAGUGCUAUAUGCUGCUCGAAGAAGGACGAAGAACUGAGAUCCAAAACCUUUUAACUUGUGAAGAAACUACACGGAGAUAAUACAAUAGUCCAGGCAAUAUCGGAAAUUCUAUUCCAUACUUUCUACAGCUUAAGGAUAUCAUUGUUUGCAACGAAAUGUAUGGAAAUUCUGAAAGUCCAAAGCAGGCCAAGUCCACCUUUGAUGCAAUGAAAUGUGACAAGAAUUCAUUCUCC
rnacentral:lncRNA from 1 species